ensembl:lncRNA
AUGGCUCCUUCCUCUAGGCCUUCUAGUGCUGCUCCUAGCCUUACUGAAGCCCCGCUGAAUACCAGCUGCACAGCCCUGACAUCUGUAACCUCCACUGCCACAGUGAUUGUUAAGGCAUUUGUGGGAGGCAUGGAGACGAUAGCAUCAUUUGAAGACACAUGUGAAGCAGUUGAUUGGCCAGUUCCUGUAAAUGACCACAAAACAGGGUCUUCACAGAAGAUAACCUUCUCUCUAGCCGGCACACUCUAUGGCCGUAUACGAGCAAAGCUGAGGGACCUUUUAACUCUAGCCGCUCGAGAAGAAGGUGUGUCAAAGGAUGCUUCUCUUCGGGAGUCUUCAGACACCCUGGAAAAGGCAACUGUUUCAACUGUUGAGGUCCAGUUACCCAGCACCGAACACAGUAGAGUUCCCAGAGAGAGCCAACCAAUACCAGCUCUCUGUCUCUCCAAUCUGGAUACCAGUACUCAAGAAGUUCUUGGCAGUGUUUUUUCCAUCUACAAGUCAGAGUUAUCAAAAGUGGAGAGUAAAUCCUUAGCCGUUGUCAGUUCAUCUGAUGAGUCCCUAGAGGCUUGUUGGUUUGUUGAUGGUGUCCUAUCAAAGCUUGAUGACUAUACUAUUUCCCAGUCACCCUCACCCAAUGAAGACUUGAGCGUGAGUACUCAAUAUUCUCAACUGAGCUCAGAAGAGAGUGUCAGAAUCACAGAGUCCUCAACUAGUCUGAUUCAGAGCAUUAAGAAGCUCUCUAGCAAUGACUUUCAGACUCAGGCAGAAGAGGCAGUGAGUAAAGUGCUGAUGAGAUCCAGUCAUUCCUUUAUCACACAGAUCAGCCAUACUGGUCUUCAGAAAAGUCUGCAGGCUGGCUUAUCAUCUAGCUCACCAUCAGAGAUCCAUGUCCUUUCAGAAUCCAUGUCCUCCAUGUCCUCUGAGAAUACAGCCUCUGGAUUAGUGGAAACCUUUGUCAAAGGAAUGGCGACUAUUUUCCAGAAAAAUGAGUCCACUGACACUGUGCUACUGGAAAGAAGUGGGAGAGUUUCGCAGUGCUCCCACGGGGGCUCCCAACUGGAUUAUACUGAAUUGAGUGUUAAAAUAUCAGAGGAGAAGCUUUGGUCAACAGCUAAGAACAUCUGCGUCAGUAUGAAGAACACACUUAAGGAUUUCUUCACAGGGCUGAAGCCAUCCGGAUCCGAAAGGACAGAAAUGGCUUCUUCCAAAGAGACCCUUGGGGAAAUCCUGGUUGCUAUCCAGAGUGAAAUCUCAAACUUCGGGCGAAUGAAGGAUUCCAGGGAGCACCUUCAGAUCAAUGAUAUGGUAGGAACUAUGCUGAAGGAGAUUGAGAAAAGUGAGGAUGACAGUGAACAAGUCUGCCAAGACAUCCCUCGAACCUGUUCAUCUUUAUCCACUUCUUUAAAUGGUCGUAGUUCCUUGUCCAGCUCUUCAAAGGGUCCUAGGUCAGAGUGUGAGUUAGAGAUCAACCUCCCUGGCACUCCCAUCCCUGACGAAGUGCCUUUUGAUCUGACCUGCCCCAUCGUCAGGAGCUCCUGCAUCGACACCAGGGACUCUAAAAUGCCAGAGAUUUCUACAAGUGACCUAAAGACAAAGAUGAUGGCACACACAGAUGAACCCCUGCAUCGUAACAGUGACAGCAGCCGACCACCGAGUGCUAAAGCCUCUUUUCGAUCCUCCACUCCGUCUUUCACCAGCAAGGGAACCUCUUUGGUACCAAAGGGAGAGGGGAUUGACAUUUGA